CUAUUUUGCUCCUGUAAGUUGCUCUGGAUAAGAGCGUCUGCUAAAUGACUAACA
rfam:Salmo salar isolate Sally breed double haploid chromosome ssa19, whole genome shotgun sequence.